UCUGGGUUAGUACUAGUAAAAUGGCGCACAAUUUGGAAAUUUCUUUGACGUGUUGUCGGAGAGAACAAAUAAAUAUGAUCAACGACUUAUUAUUAUUUUCUGACGACGAUGAAGAAAUCAUAGAAUACAUCAGCACGGAUUUUUACGACCGAAGAAUCGCAGAACGUACCGAUUACUUUAAUACACAUAGAGAUAAAGAGUUUCACAGAAGGUUUCGAUUAGAAAAACACAGUGUCGCAUUUUUAUUGAAUAAAAUCAAACACAGAUUGCAAUACGUAAAUCCCAAUAUCAGUGAAGCCUUGUCACCUAUGAAUCAAUUACUAUGCACACUACGAUAUUUUGCCACUGGAAGUCAACUUGUGACUUGCGGAGAUUUCAUUGGUGUGCACGAAUCGACCGCAUGUAGAACAAUUCAUAAAGUAACAGAUGCCAUAGCCCGGUUGUACCCAGAAUUCAUAGUUAUGCCUCGCACAGAAGAAGAGCUAAGACAAGCUGCAAUGAAAUUUUAUCAAAUUGCUCGGUUUCCACGUGCUAUUGGAGCUGUAGACUGCACUCAUGUACGAACGAAAUCUCCAGGAGGAGAAACUGCAGAGAUAUAUCGGAACAGGAAGGGUUACUUUUCAAUGAACACCCAAGCCAUCUGUUCUGCUGAUCUACUGUUUACCGAUGUUGUUGCACGCUGGCAUGGGUCUGCACACGAUUCGCA